GAUGUACUCCCUCCGUCCGGAAAUACUUGUCAUCAAAAUGGAUAAAAGAGGGUGUGUCUAGAACUAAAAUACAUCUAGAUACAUCCUCUUUUAUUCAUCUUGAUGACAAGUAUUUCCGGACGGAGGGAGUACCUA
rfam:Triticum aestivum genome assembly, contig: Triticum_aestivum_CS42_TGACv1_scaffold_474039_6AL